rnacentral:lncRNA from 1 species
CGAAAGCAGACACAUAUGCUAUCUCAAAAUAAUGACUUAGUAUCACGAAAUAAUGACUUAGUAUCUCAAAAAUAAUGACAAUGUUUUAAAAUAAUGAAUUAGUAUCUCAAAAUAAUGACUACAAUCUCAAAUAAAUUUAUUACUCAAAGUAAAGAGAUAGCAGUAUUAAUAAUAACAAAAAUAUGCUGUAUUUGUUUUAUUAUUAUUUUAGGUGGUGGAAAUAGGCUGACAUAGUUUAGUAUUAAUAUACAGAAAGUUUUAAAAUAAUUAAAAAAAACACUGAAUUUAAGGUGUGUAAAAACCUUCUUUCUCAGAGCUCUGGAAUUUUCCGUUUGAGAGCUACAGUUAGAACAAAUCUAAAGAAGCUCAAACGGAAGGGAAAACAGCAUUUUAGCAUUUUUUAAACAGUGAAUAAUGUUAGUUAGGUUAGCUGGUGUAUCUGAAACCUGUAGCUAGUUAUAGUUAAGCUGCUGAUUCAUCCAUUUCACUGUGAAAAGCAAAAUGAGGGUGGAACAGCUUCCAGCUCCCAGUAACAACCUCACACCCACCAUCCAGAGAAACCCAGGAACAGCUCUCUUAUCAGGAGCUAUGAAUGGCAGCAUAAAUCCAGCAGCAGCAGCGAAGGAACCAAAAAAUGAUGAGCUUCCUGUUAAGAAGGCAUUUACGGCCGAAACACCCAAACUCCCAACCACUGCUCCUAUUAAAAAGAAGACUCUACAGCCAAACUGUAGAGAGACUCAACCGAGACCAAGCAGCCUCCCCUCUGCAGGAAGAGACACUCAGAAGAAGAUGACAAAAGCGAAAUGGCUGUGGAAAUUUUCUCGGUGGAGGCGUCUCCACAGAAGUCUGUGGGACCCCCAAAGUCUUAGGCCCCCAAAACUAACACCCGAUGCUACUACAGUACAGUCCAGACAGCGCAAAAGGUGUAAAGCCGUCCAUGUGUACCGAACCCGCCGUUACCGGAACCAGUUACUGUGGUACCGGAUCCUGCAGCAUGAGAAGAGGCUCAGAGCUCAGAGAUUAGCCCAGCAGAGCAUCAAGACUCCGUCUUCUGCAGAUUCCUCAGUGAGAAAAGGCACCUCAGAAUACCUGGAUAAACCAGGUUUGAAAUAUCAGCGAGAGGAAAGAAAGAGAAGCCUGCCAUCAGCCCGCAGCUUUCUGGUCAGAAAGAUGUCAAGAAGGACCAAACGCAAGCUGUGGCGUCGCCAGCUGGACAGCAGCAGCUCUGAUUCUCCUGUUUCAGGGAGCAGUGCCAGUGCCACCCCUGUAUGUGCCCGCUGUAUGUCCUCCAGAGGUCUUGGCACUAGGAGCUGCCCAACUUUAACUUCAGACUCUUUCACCUCCCUGAAGGACACUCCCUCAACCAACAUGAAAUCAGCUCUGGCAAGUCCAGGUCAACGAUGUGCCGAUAAAAAACGAGUUACGUUCUCAGAUUUUCAAGAGGGACCAUUAUUUUCUCACAUGCAGAAGACCACGAAAUCUCCAAGACCUCUGAAAGAGGUCAAGUUCAAAGAUUCACCAUCUGCAAUUCAAAUCUCUGAGACACCUAGCAGAUCAAAAUCUGCUGUACAGAAGAUGAGACUGCCAAGCACUCCACACGUCUGUAAGAAGAGAUCAAAAUCUUCAACAAGACGCUCUGCUACGCCCAAGCACAAAGUUCAGGCUAAAUCCAUAUGCUCUAUUGACCUUUCAUUGAAGGGGAACUCGCAGUCAGACACGUCCAAAUCACCCUCAAAAGUAUCAAGCUCUCAAUGCUUAGCUUCCCAGAUGAAUCACUCACAGAAGUUCAUCCUCCAAGUAACCCCGAGCCCUAAAGACCCUCAUCAGAGGAAAAAGAAGAAGAAACAUGGCCAAAACAAGCCAACUUCAAAUACCCCUGCAGAGACAACAGCGAGAAUGCAGGCUCAUCCACAAGCCCAGUUUAAGACUCCAUCACCAAGAACAUCAAACAUCCAACCAGAGUACCCCCUUCCUUCCAAAGCAGCAUCGUCCAGCACUUUCAAACGCCCAAUAUCUGCAAGACAGGGAAAUUUAAAGAUUGGGCAUAAUUGCACCCGCAGUACGCAGACGCCGUUCAGAAGGCCAGACACGCCGAGACCUAAAAGCUGCCCCGAAUUUCUGAAAUGGAAGAAGGUUCUUGAGCUCAGAGACAAAAUGACAAGACCUACUUCCAGGAGCCUGUGCAGCUUCCAAGGACACUCGUCAGAAGAAUACGCAGAUAUGCUUCCCUCACCCAGACAGAUGUUCUCAGACAGUUCAUCACUGUCCAUCCAGUUCACACAGAAGCAUGGUCACUCCAGCAGGCCUGCUCUCGACCGUGAGAAUUCUUCUCAACGUCUGGAACAAAGUCAUCAUGGUAAAGCUGCUGUACUGAAUAAGAGGAUGGAGAGCCAGCAUCUCAGCACAUCGUCUCCAUCCAUAACCCUGCAAAUCGCCCAAGAGCAGCGUUCCGGUUCCUCCAGCCCAGAGCUCAGCCAGGCCAUACUCAGUGCCGUGAGACUUUUUUUGAGUAAGCAGCCAGCGGAGGCGGAGUCUACCUCCUUUAACAGCCCGUGCCAUCCGAGUCCUAGCCCUGACACUUCAGCCUCUGGCGGGGAUGCCAGGCAGCGGCCUGUCAGCCAGAGGACAAGUCUUUCAGGAUGCCAGUAUUUUGCUGUUUCUAUCAAACCUCUGGAGCUUUCUCCUCCUUUACCGUUCCUCAGCCAGGACACGUGCCGUCCUGUUGAGCAUAGAGGACCCUUCUGGCUGGUGCAGGAAGGGGGAGAUAACCAUACCCAGUCAUCACCUGAACAAACCCUGACCGAGCGAGAGAUCAAUGGACAAGCUGCAGAACCAGAUGCAAAAAUGGCAGAUAAGAUUAAAUCUGCAUCAAAAAGUAAACGCCAUACUAUAUAGUAACAAAAUCCAGGGAUCUGUGUGUAAAUAGUUCAUACCUAGGUAUUUUGGGAAGCCUCUUUGUUGUAUUUACCAUAAAUGAACAUAGGAUGGCAGCGUUGUGUAACACUGUUGAGCAUCCCUGCUCUGUUCUUUGUCUGGGGAUGUGCCAAAAAAGGAAGAUGUUGAAGAUAAAAAAUCAAAUAAAUCAUAUUUACAAUUUUUUUUUCUGAAAUUU